UCAUUUUUUUGGUUUACCGCUUGGCCUUUCCCAUCAGCCUGCCGUUGAACAGUGAGGAAGGAGAAGGAGAAGGAGAAGAGAGGAUGAUGGAAGAGGAAGGACGAUUUUCGUCACCCACCCUAGAUAGGGUUAGGUGAGAACAAGAAGGAGGACAGGAGAAAGUUGAAGGAGAAGAGGGGAGAUUUCGUCAUCGAAUGGUUUGAUCGGCGUCGGAUCACGUCAGAUCUGUGCAAGAGGGUCGGUAAUGACAGAAUCAAUCGUGCUGCAGGUUCAUUCCUUUACGCAAUUUCUCUCUUUCCCAAUAAAUCCCACAGUUAUCCUAUUCAAAUGAUGUCAUGUUUCUCAGAGUUAUGGCUUUCUCCCUUUUGUUUCUCUAUAAAUAUUGCCUUUGCUUUGCUUCUUCUUCCAUUCUGCAACAUUGCCCUAUCCUAAUUCUUCUUUAAUUUUACGUGGUGGCUCCGAGGCCGACGCGGAGGAGAUGGUUGCAAUGGCGAUUGAACCUCGCGGUGCUCUGGUGCGGAGGCGAGAGGUGUGCUUUGUUCGGAUUUUUGUUUUAUGUAGGUGGUUUGUUGUUUGUUUUCCUAGGAUGAUUCUUAAAUUUGCUUAGCUUGAGCACAGGCAAGUUCUUUUUAAGAUGGCUGUCAGUUUUUGUUUUCUGACAUCAUUGCACUCCUCAAGUUCAACAAGGUCACUGAUUUUGCUGCUAUCUAUCUUCGCUUGCUGGAACCAUUCAAGGCAUGCAUCUCUAACCUAUAAUUGAACAUAGAACACUUUAAGUUCAUCCUUCUACAGGCUACAAGUCAAUUCAGCCACCGAAGUUGCAUUAAAAUCUUAGAAUGGUGGCUAUGAUGGAUUAUAUUUUUUACAAUUCUAUUGGUUUAUACACAACUUCUAUUAUAUUUUUCAGUCAAUAUUUUCACUGAAAGGUUUCUGCUACAUGGGCACAGAUGAUAUAAGUCAUGAGCUAAUUGAUGUUGCACUUUUGUUAA